rnacentral:lncRNA from 1 species
GUUAAAUACUAUAAUCCUUGGCCCAAGAAAUUAAUUGCUUUCGAUUAAGUCCACACAAAGAUCUUAAUCGGCUUAACAGAAAUAGGUGAGAGCAUUAGCAUCAAAUACUUUUCAUAAUCUAUAAUCCUCUUUCUUCUCUUAACUUUGCCUACAAUUUAAUGAUCAACUUUUAUCCUAGCAAAACUUCAAACCCCUUUCAAAUGGGUAGAUCAAAAAUAUCAUAGCUAGGAGUAAGAAACAUUCCAGGUCUAAGCCCAUCCAAGGCACCAUUAAUCCGUUAAUACUAAAUUUAAGAUGCUCAAAAUCUCCCAAGAAUUGCCAACAAUAGAAAAACUCACUAGUGAAAUUAUAUAGCUAUCUCCAGAUUAUUCAGAGAAUCAACAAUACUUUUUUUUUCCAGUAGAAUUCUAAUUCAAAUUUUUUUUUUCUCAAUAAUUCUAUUCAUCAAUACAACUUCAUCAUUAGAUCUUAUCAAAAGAAAUAAGGUCUAAUAUUUCCAGAUUUGAUUCUUUUGGUAGGUGAUCUAAAUCAAACUUUUCUCUUAUACACGAAAAACAACGUCUUAAUUCUGAAUAAGAAUAUCCAAUUUCUUUAUCAAACUAUCAACUUCUCUUGAUUAACCGAUCUAUCACAAGAUUAGAUCAUAAACAAUUCUAAUCCAUCCUUGGUAGAUAUUCAUCAAAGUCGAUUAACCACCUCAAUUUCUUUCAACCAAAUAAAGGGUUGAUAUUAAUUAAAGAAAUUCAAGCUUCAAUUUUAGGAGGACGGAGGUUUAUAUCAACAUAUUCCAGAUCUAAGAUCAAAAUUG